CAAAGCAACUUUAUUUAAUGUCACCAUUCAGGCACAUGGUAGUACAAAUUCACAGAGAUAAAACAUUAAAACAUAAAGUACCUCAAAAGAAUAAUGGAAAGUACCACAUCAAAAGAAGAAAUAUUAAAAUGCUAAUUGAACUGUUGACCUAUCAGUACCACCAGUUUUACAGGAAUCCGCAAUUGUGGAGAUUCACGCAAAAAAAAAAAAAAAAAAAAAAAAGAAUUACAAAUCCACGCAGGUUUCGCAUUAAAGUAUAAUUAACGCAAAAAUGAUAAACAAAAACACAAUUGGUUUUAAAUGACUAACUCACCUGCAGGUGGCAGUAUUUCUUCUACUACACUGCGGCUUCAGAUUUACCAUACUUAUAGUCGACCGUGAUCAACAUUGAGCAACGAAAUUGGGCUACUUAAAAAAGUUUGACAACAAAACUACUGAUGGACCAGAGGCCAGACUUUCAAAGCAACACUUUUGUUCUACUCCAAUCAGGUCACACAUCAAAAGCUCUCAGUUCAAACAUGUAGCGACCCGUAAGACUACAGAGAGGAAGAUGCCGACCCUCAGGUUGACUGGGAACGUCGAGCUGCGGGACGCAGACGGGAG